rnacentral:lncRNA from 1 species
CUGAGGGAAGCAGGCUUUGAAAGCAGCAGUCUGUCCAGGGAGUGGUGGACCUGCUUUUGCCCCUCAGGAAGUGUCUGGAUUGGGAAGGGAAGAGAGGACGUGGAGCAGUGAAUCCAGCAGUUACAGAACUUUGGGAGUGAGUAGGAAGUCACCAGACCCCUGUGGGGGCCGGCAUGUCCAAGUGGUGCUAGAGUCAGGGCCCACUGUGGGCUUCUGCACCCCAGAACUCAACUAUCUCCCCAGUGUGGCCUGUGUCUGCCUGAUAGGAAGACACUCCAACACUAGGGAUCUAUAGGGUAUCUCCUGAGAGGCCUGAGGCAAGUCAUGGGCAGUCACCUUCUGCUUGAGCUUCAACUUCUGCCCCUUAAAAUGACGACCUCUGGGCUGGAGAUGUGCCCCAGUGGUAGAGUGCUUGCUUAGCACGUGUCAGAACCUGGGAGGGUGGAGGAAGGACCUCUCCAGCCCAGAGAGCCUAGAUGGUACUGUCCAAAAAUCCUAUUCAGAUGAUUCCAAGGUAUAGCAAAUGCUAAUACUCCUGGAAAAGGUUUCCUCCUGACCCCAAUCAUAGAGCCACAUCUCACAAGUUUCACAGCUCUUCCUUGUGCCUGUGAGUGUAUGCCCUCUUUCCCGACUCCUAGCCUCUGUGGGUACUUCACAGAUGUUGCUUC